GACGAACGCUGGCGGCGUGCUUAACACAUGCAAGUCGAACGGGAUCCAAAGGCUUUUUGUUUUUGGUGAGAGUGGCGAACGGGUGAGUAACACGUGAGUAACCUGCCCCCUUCUUUUGGAUAACCGCAUGAAAGUGUGGCUAAUACAGGAUAUUCCAGGCUGGUCGCAUGAUUGGUUUGGGAAAUGGUUUUGUCUGGUGGGGGAUGGGCUCGCGGCCUAUCAGCUUGUUGGUGGGGUGAUGGCCUACCAAGGCGGUGACGGGUAGCCGGCCUGGGAGGGUGGGCGGGGAAAGGAGGACUGGGCUACGGUCCAGACUCAUGCGGGAGUCGGCAGUGGGGGAUUUUGGACAAUGGGCGCAAGGCUGAUGCAGCGGCGCCGCGUGAGGGUUGGAGGACUUCGGGUUGUAAUCCUCUUUCGAUGGGGUGAAAGGCCAUGCUUUGGGUGUGGUUGAUUUGAACUAGUAAAGAAGUACCGGCUAACUACGUG
rnacentral:rRNA from 1 species